rnacentral:rRNA from 1 species
UACGUAGGGGGCUAGCGUUGUCCGGAAUCAUUGGGCGUAAAGCGCGCGUAGGCGGCCAGAUAAGUCCGGUGUGAAAGUCACAGGCUCAACCUGUGAAUGCCGCUGGAAACUGUCUGGCUAGAGUCCGGAAGGGGCGAGUGGAAUUCCUGGUGUAGCGGUGAAAUGCGCAGAUAUCAGGAGGAACACCAGUGGCGAAGGCGGCUCACUGGACCGGAACUGACGCUGAGGCGCGAAAGCGUGGGGAGCAAACAGG